rnacentral:rRNA from 1 species
UACGUAGGGCGCAAGCGUUGUCCGGAAUUAUUGGGCGUAAAGAGCUCGUAGGCGGUUUGUCGCGUCUGCCGUGAAAACCCGAGGCUUAACCUCGUGGCUUGCGGGCGAUACGGGCAGACUGGAGUACUGCAGGGGAGACUGGAAGUUCCUGGUGUAGCGGUGGAAUGCGCAGAUAUCAGGAGGAACACCGGUGGCGAAGGCGGGUCUCUGGGCAGUAACUGACGCUGGAGGAGCGAAAGCGUGGGGAGCGAACAGGA